UUGACUCAUCUCGCACGCCUGGUUACCAAGCCAACGCACGAAAUCCGCUGUACAGUGGUGCAGACAGCUCGUGUUUAUGGGAAAUCAUGAAAUUAUCGAGACAUUAUCAUCCGUCCGUCUCCCGCUUUGCUCAAAACAUGUUGCAGGUAUUUAUUAGUAUAUAGGCAAUAGUAUCCAUGAUACUACUAGGCACUAUGGACAGCAGAGAAACCGCUGACUGACAGGGACUGUGGAAGCUGGGGGGGGAGAUCCAGCUCCCCUGGGGGGGGGGGAGAUCCAGCUCCCCCCCCCCUUCCCCAAUAAUUUCCAUGAUACUCAACGCAUAUGGCCCUUUCGUGCUUGGUUUGGGAAAUUGGUAAACAAUAAUGUCUAAUAGUUGCGUGCUCAGCUGGCUACAUGGACACAUGACAUUCCAACAUUCCCGCAUGGAAGACCUGAACAUAUCUUAUUAUAGCUUUUCUCUUGUAGGGUGAAAAUAUAACAUACGAUGGUGAUCCCUUGUCCGAUUUUACUUUGAUGAGGUAAAAUUAUUUUGGACAGUGAUUGUAAAAUUAUUUAAAUUAAAUCAUUCUUCUAUUGUUUCGCCUGUAUUCUAAAAGCUCACUCACACUCAAUGGACGACUUGCGCUUUAGAAAAAUUUUUAAUCUGGGAAUAACAAAGGAUAUUUUUGGAAAGAAGUUAUCAAAAUUAGAAAAACUGCAAAGUUUGGUUGCGAAAUGUUGUAAGAUACGGAAAAUAUAGCCCUGCGAAGUUGGCAAAUUUGUAUACAUUUCUAUUACGUGCGGAAGUUGGUAACUAAUUUAGUUACCAAUUCACGCACGUAAUACAAAAGUAUACAAAUUUGCCAACUUUGAAGGGCUAUAUUUUCCGUAUUUUACAACAUUUCUCAACCAAACUUUGUAAUAUUACUAAUUCCAAGACGCUCUUUCUAGCUGUGGUGAUAUAUUUCGUUGUUCUUACUUAGAUUAAAAUUUAGUCUAAAGCGCAAGUCGUCCAUUGUAUGAUUCAGCUAGUAUACAGAGGCUAGUAUAUAUGAAAGGUUUGACAGUAAUAUACAAUAAACCUCCAAAUAUAACCCCCCUGUCUGUAAUUUGUCUUUGUAACUUUUAUGGCAUUGUAAGAUGUGAAAGUGAAAACAUGUGAGCGCAGGAAGGAAACCCGCCAACACUAUAUUAAAAUGAGUGAGCUUUUAGAAUACGGGCGUUUGUCUUAAAAUAUGUCUUGAAAUAGUGACUUGAAAUAAAACAGCUAACAUGCAGUGUUAAACAUUUCAUUGUUAGAUUUCUGGAUAGACUUGUCUACAAGAAUCCAAAAAAGAAAGAUCAAGGUACUAUUUACUGGAUUUACUGUAUGCAUGAUGACUGCCUGACUGGUCGUAUUAGACGAAUCACAUUUUUAUUGAUAUAUUUUUAUCCUUGUUUAGACCACGGCGGUUCACUUAUGCAG
rnacentral:lncRNA from 1 species